GGUCUGGUGGUCUAGUGGUAUGAUUCUCGCUUAGGGUAAACCUGAGUAAAUAUGCGAGAGGUCCCGGGUUCAAUCCCCGGCCAGACCC